rnacentral:rRNA from 1 species
AGUGAACGCUGGCGGUAGGCCUAACACAUGCAAGUCGAACGGCAGCACAGUAAGAGCUUGCUCUUACGGGUGGCGAGUGGCGGACGGGUGAGGAAUACAUCGGAAUCUACUUUUUCGUGGGGGAUAACGUAGGGAAACUUACGCUAAUACCGCAUACGACCUACGGGUGAAAGCAGGGGAUCUUCGGACCUUGCGCGAUUGAAUGAGCCGAUGUCGGAUUAGCUAGUUGGCGGGGUAAAGGCCCACCAAGGCGACGAUCCGUAGCUGGUGUGAGAGGAUGAUGACCCACACUGGAACUGAGACACGGUCCAGACGCCUACGGGGGGCCGCAGUGGGGAAUAUUGGACAAUGGGCGCAAGCCUGAUCCAGCCAUACCGCGUGGGUGAAGAAGGCCUUCGGGUUGUAAAGCCCUUUUGUUGGGAAAGAAAGGCAGCAGGUUAAUACCCCGCUGUUCUGACGGUACCCAAAGAAUAAGCACCGGCUAACUUCGUG